UUCGGCCUACGGGGGGCAGCAGUGGGGAAUAUUGCACAAUGGGGGGAACCCUGAUGCAGCGACGCCGCGUGAGUGAAGAAGUAUUUCGGUAUGUAAAGCCCUAUCGGCAGGGAAGAAGCAAGACGGUACCUGACCAAGAAGCCCCGGCUAACUACGGGCCAGCAGCCGCGGUAAUACGUAGGGGGCGAGCGUUAUCCGGAUUCACUGGGUGUAAAGGGAGCGUAGACGGCCAUGCAAGCCAGGGGUGAAAGCCCGGGGCCCAACCCCGGGACUGCCCUUGGAACUG
rnacentral:rRNA from 1 species